AGGUGUGAUCAAACCAGCUCUCAUGCACUGGAUCCCAUCAGAACUCUGCAGUCAGGCGUGCUUGGGCGAGAGUAGUACUAGUAUGGGUGACCUCAUGGGAAGUCCUCGUGUUGCACCUC
rfam:Lupinus angustifolius cultivar Tanjil contig_4178, whole genome shotgun sequence.